UACAGAGGUCCCGAGCGUUGUUCGGAUUCACUGGGCGUAAAGGGUGCGUAGGUGGGCAGGUAAGUCAGUGGUGAAAUCUCCGGGCUUAACUCGGAAACUGCCAUUGAUACUAUCUUUCUUGAAUACCGUGGAGGUCAGCGGAAUAUGUCAUGUAGCGGUGAAAUGCUUAGAUAUGACAUAGAACACCAAUUGCGAAGGCAGCUGGCUACACGAAUAUUGACACUGAUGCACGAAAGCGUGGGGAUCAAACAGG
rnacentral:rRNA from 1 species